UAACAACCUGGACUUGCAAUUAGCAUCUGAAGUGGGGACAGUCUUGUGGGACGGAGCCCUUAACUUGUGGAAUCUGAUACUAUCUCCAGGUAGAAAAUGUCAGAAUUGAGUUGAAUUGUAGGAGACCCUGCGUGGUGUCGGAGAAUUGCCUUGUACGGAGAAAGAACCCACACAUUGGAACUGGUGUCAGAAUUGGUUUAAAUAUUAUUGACACCUUUGACAUACACUGCCAAAUAUAGAAGAAUCAUUCCUAAAGAUGUAAAUUUAUUGCUUCUUUUGUAGGAAGAAAGUCAAUUUGUGCUACAGCACAAUAGCAAUAGGAAGACAAGUUGACUGGCAGAACAAAAGAAGAAAUAGGUGAGAAAAUGCCAAAAAAAAGGAAAUUUAAGGAAAGGAAGAAGUCACCAAAAAGUUAAAGGAAAUUAAAAGGCCAGGAAUACGAAGAUGGCAUCCAUCAUUCUAAUAAAGGGCCUCAGUCUCUCUACAACAUAGGCUAAGGCCCGCAGUGGAAACCCUCAUGCUCUGAGCGCUCGAGACCCAACUCCUAAGAGCUCUUGUCCCAGAUUUGGCGUGGUCGGACUGGAUAAUCCUUUAACCUCUAUAGGGAGAAAAUGCUGAGACCCGGGAAGAGAGAGGUGCUACAGAUGGGAGGAGUCCGGAUCCUUGAAUCAUCAUAUGCUUUCAACCCUUUAUGAAGGACUAGAGCGUGGAGAACAGCAGCCCCAUAAAUGCAAAUCUACUCCAGGCGUCGCAAGCAUUUGAUGUGGAGCAGUUCAUUUAACCUUCAGAAUACUAUUUGAGGUAGGUAUUAUUAUAACCAUCCUCAUUAACAGAAGAGGAAACUGAGUCUGAGAGGGUUUAGGUAACUUGCUCUUGGUCUGAUUGGAUAAAAGGAUGAAUUCUGGAAACUAAUGAAGAGCUAAUAGUUAAUCAAUCUCUUGGGCAUUGUCAACUAUUGGCUGCCUCCUUCAGGCUUUUGACAGGAGCUGAAUAUCAGUCAACUAAUAAUUGAGACCACCAGCAGUUCUUAAGGAGCCAAUAGUGUCAC
rnacentral:lncRNA from 1 species